UGCAGUCACGCUGUGGAAAUAUUACGACGAUCAUUGUGGAACAGUGUUCAAUUAUACAAGUUCUUAAUUGAAAACAAAUGUGAUAAUUGCAAGGUACGACAUUGACAUCUAACUUAUUAGAUAUUACCACUGAACAACAAUCUUUAUGACUUUGUCGAAUUGUAUGCGCUGGCUUGGUUUACUUGUGUAAUCUUUAAUGUAAUUGAAAGAAGUCAAGUUAUUGGCAAUAGUGAAGGGGUACCAUAGACAUAUGAGAUCCGGACAUGUUAAUAUUUCAACACAACAACAGGAUCAACAAUACAACGGCAAGAUAACAGAUGACAAAAUGGUACACACAACACUUAAAGUGUAAAAUAGUUGCUAAAAAAUGUCUGAGAACUAUCGAUGACGGAAAGAUAUUUGUUUGAAGAGGAAGUUUGAACAAUAUUUACUGCUGAAGGUCAAGGUCAACGACAACCAAUAUGGCGGAUUCACCGCGGACUUUACCGGAAGUUGCCUACAAACCAGUGGUUAUUAAAUAUCCAAACUCAAAGUCAGACAAACAAAUCAAGCGCACGAAAUAUUCGACAGACGACACGGACUCCGACAUGGAGAGGAACGCAGGUGACGUUUUAAAGCCAAAAGGUUCAACUCAUCACAGCACAACUUAUGUUCCAGAUACAAACUUGACUCUCGCCUGCCUUGUGUGUAUAUGUUUCAACAUGCCUUUAGGAGCGGUUGCAAUGUACCUGUCGCUCUCUGCUGCUCGUCUGUAUCGUGAUGGGGACCCGAGAAGGGGAGAAAGAAAAGCCAAAUGCUCUGUUAUUCUCAGUCUAUUUAGCAUUGUUUCAACUGUGCUCCUUGUGAUGUCAUACGUAUUGUGGGUCGUCAUAGAAACACAGAAUAAACGAGCACUUAGACAGCGAAAUAGGUAAUGCAGCAAGUGUGAAAAACCAUUAUAGUGAAGCCUUAGGACUAGUGCCAAACUCUGUAUUACUUGCCUAUUGGACAUUCGCAGUGUAUGCUAUAGAAUAUCAGCCAUUGGUACAUUUGGACAUAGUCACUUAAUAUAUAAUGUUUUCUUGUGCAUAUUUGAUUUGAAAAGAGCCAUUCGGAGCUCCUCGGUCAUUUUUAUCGAAAACAACCUCGGAUAUAUGCCUGUACAUCAGUAGAAUACAUUUUAUCUUUUUAGUUUUAUCAUUAAUUUAAUGUAGUGUUGUUGUUUUGUUUUAUUUAUCUUAGUUUAAAUUGAUUGCCAGUGAAGUGUAUUGUUGCAAACAUAAUUAAGAUGCCCAAGAGUUAAGUCAUUAACUUUAACUGCUAAAUUAAAUUACAAGGCGAUCUACUUGCAGCGGACUUAAACAUACCGAUUUCUGAGUAUGUAAACCGUCCAUAUACAUCCGAGGUUAUUUUCGAGAAAAUGGCCGAGGAAUUCCGAAUGGAAUAGAGCUGCACCUUAAAUUGAAAUCUCAUGGAAAAUGAAGAUGAUUGAAUCUCAAAAUACACUAUGUGAAACAGGUUAUUUCAUUAAUCCAUCAUCUUAUAAUGAUUUAGUUUUAAUCACAAAGAAACAGAGGAAUUAACGUGGCUUUCCGAAAGGUGCAAGGAAACAGUUUCUACAUCCCUCAUUUUGCACAAUGUUAAACCAGCAUUAUCAAAUACAGCUUUGAAUAUCAUAGUCAAAUUUAGAGUGUGUAUUGACACUUUGCAAUGGAUAUUUGAAGUAUUCCUGGUAUUAUUUGUGGUUCUGUGUGGAAUUGACACUCGGCCAAAGUAUUCUGUGUAUAACGUUUACGGAUUGUUAAAAUACCUGAAUUUAGUUCGUAGUUUUUAAAGGGCGCGAUGCAAACAUAUUCAGAAGGUACUUCUACAUACUUAUCUCGAAACGAAGGCUUUAUUUUUGACCGGAUUGACUUCAUGAUACAAUUAUAUAUUUAAAAUAAUUGUUUUAUUUAUAAUAAUGCUGAAUUAUGAAUCUUCCUGAAAUAUAGUGUUGACAAGAUUAACCGAAGAAGCAAAUGCAAAUCAUGUGAUAAUGUAUGCAUUGUAUAGUCAUUUUGUCAAUACCAGACGGGCUGGGAAACACUACAUGCACGUGUACUUGUCUUGUAACGACAUCAACGUUUACUUGUCUUGUAGCCUCAUGCACGUGUACUUGUCUUGUUGCUACAUUCACGUGCACUGGUCUUGUAGCCACAUGCACGUGUACUGGUCUUGUAGCUACGUGCACGUGUACUGAUCUUGUAGCUACAUGCACGUGAACUUGUCAUGCAGCUACAUGCACGUGCACUUGUCUUGUAGCUACACGCACGUGUACUGGUCUUGUAGCUACUUGCAGUGUCUUAUUUUACAUGUCAUCUUUAGUGUGUCCUUACAUAAUGAAAUACUUGAUAAUCUCUUUCACACGAGUUCGCACGGAAGCAUGUGUAGAUUGUACAUGUUAAGAUCGUCUAACUGAUGUCGCCAAUAUAUUAACAGUUCAAAUGUUGGUGACAUCAGCUACACGAUCUAAACAUGUACAAGUAUACACAUGCUGCAGUCUAAACUACAGCGACAAGCCAAGAAUCCAAAUGUGUACGAAUACCCUGUUUUAAUGCAUAUUGAUGGCGUUACGGUUAGAAGUAGUUCACGUACACGUGCAAGUAGUGUUUUGCAACGUAUCUGGUAUGUUGGAUAACUUCACGUGUGACUAGUUUUAGAGUUAUUAUAGAAGUGCUCAAUGUUGACCUUAUUCCAAAUGAUGCAUGUAUAUUUUUUGCUUGAUGACAGGGGCUGUAAAACGGUAAUAAAAUAAAAAAAAAAUGUAGUAAUAAUAUAGUACAAAUGUCGCGUGUAGAAAUAAUUAAUUUACUCUGCAUAUGUGUAUCUUAGUAGACAGGUUUGUCCUUAAAACAAAACGUUCGUAGAUUGCAACAUAUACUUAUUUAUAAAUAUACAUUGCCUGAGAUUUGUUUAUAACACUUUCGCGAUAUUUAGUACAACGAUUAAGCUUAAUAUUGGUAUUAAUUAAUAAUAGAAAUAAUCAUACUACUACUACAUAUGAUUUUUAAAAGUAUUAUUAUAACAGCACCAUUUAUUUUAGAAGGUAACAAAUUAUGACAUUGUUACAACAUAAUAGGAUCAAUGCUGCCUUCUGUAAACAAUUUCUGAAGGAGCGUUGGUUUAAUUAAAAAUCUAAAUUAAAACAAUUAUCUAAAUAAAAAUCGUGUGAUAAUUAGAGCUUUCAUGGAACCAGCCAAUAUUUGAUUGUAAUCUUAAGUUUUUUGUACAAAAAUUCAAUGGAAAUCACAGGGUGUACUGAAAGUUAAAAAUAACAUACGCCAGAAAUGUAAUUGUUACGUAAUGUUGAACAACCUUCACAUACAUGUACAUAUUCACUAUAUAAGGAUUAUCAAAAUGUUUAAUUAAAGGCCCAUUGUGUUAAAUGUGACGUCAUUUGUAUACUGAAGUAUAUGCUCAUUUUAUAUAAUGUCUUUCAUGUUGAUAUCAUGUUGGUUACUAACUGUACAGAUCAUAUUGACAUUUUAUACAUCAACUCUGUAACCGUAUUCAUACGUAACUGUUUGUAUAUCUCACGAAUCCUAAAUAUGCAGUAUGACUGUAUGUGAAGCACAAUAUGAAUGUAAAAUCUGGCAAAUAUACGUGCUUAUAUCUAUGAUUAAUACAUAUGUUACUAUAUAUAGUAACACAUUUGUACAGGGAUUUCGCCAUUAGUUGCAUGACUCAGCGAUUAUCGGUUUUGCGGCCCGGGCCGAUUUUCGAUUAUUAUUUUGCGGCCAGUAGAACGUUCGCACGUGAAUUCAAUUUUCGCCUUGAAAUCAAUUUUGGCGACUGUAAAAUAAUGUCUUGACCGUAAAUAAAUCAAAAUGUAUUGAUCUGCUUGAACAUAUUUAUAAUUAAAUCCUAAAGGGACGCAAACGCGAACGCAUUUUAGGAAGAUAUGCUAGUGUUUGAUAACCAGUGUGGACCGUUAGGGCGGCGUUUUUUAUUCUGUGUUGACAUUAAAAAACAAAACAAAGGAAGCGGCAAAAUUGAUUUUACUUGAAAACAGCAAAUGUUCAUACAUGUUGACAUCAAUAAUUCGAGGUAUUGGUUUAUUUAAGUACAAACAGUCGUUCUACUUGCUAAAGGUUCAUGUUUAUUGAAUUGAAUUCAGUUAUUCAGGACAUGAACAGACAGAUGUCAGUGAUUCGUACAGAAAAAUUCGGAUAGACGUGUUGUGGAAUUUUCAAGGUGAUCAAUUGAAAUUGGAAUGGGAACAUAAAAAUGAUAACAAAAUGUUGUUUGCCUGUUUUGCACACUUUUAAAAAAUGAAAUAAUAACAGUAAAUUUAAUUUGAGAGUGAGUUAACUCAUCGACUACGUCUCGGGCCAUUAUGAGUCACUCGGGCUAAUUAUCACUCAACGGCCCGGCUACGCCGUGUAUUAACCUCUAAAUAAUAGACAUUAACCAGACUAAGACCGUUUGAUAUAGAUACAGUUUUGUAUGUUCUUCCAUAACACCAUUCAUCUUGUGAUGCAUUGCCUAGCACAUUCACUGUUUUAUAUCAUUUUCACAUUGAUUUAUAGAUCGCAGGAUAAAAGCCAAAAUAGUCUAAGUGAUAUUAAGUACAAUAAAACAUUUAGGGCUUUUUGCUUCCACCAAUCGUGAUGGUUGAAUUGCUUUUGUAUUAGUCGAGGGGUGCCAAAAAGACUGUUGUAGGUGUCGGAUUGAUUUUGACGCAGUUACCGCUGUAUUGCAGUGACCUUCGAUAUCACGUGGCCAAAAAAGAACGUCCAUUUUGUAUUUUUAGAAUCUAUGCAGUUGUAUUUUUGUAUGUGAAAAUGUUGUUAUCUUUAUUGUAUAAUGCAUUAAAUGACAUAUCAAUUUCA